GACGAACGCUGGCGGCGUGCCUAAUACAUGCAAGUCGAACGCUUCUUUCCUCCCGAGUGCUUGCACUCAAUUGGAAAGGGGAGUGGCGGACGGGUGAUUAACACGUGGGUAACCUACCCAUCAGAGGGGGAUAACACUUGGAAACAGGUGCUAAUACCGCAUAACAGUUUAUGCCGCAUGGCAUAAGAGUGAAAGGCGCUUUCGGGUGUCGCUGAUGGAUGGACCCGCGGUGCAUUAGCUAGUUGGUGAGGUAACGGCUCACCAAGGCCACGAUGCAUAGCCGACCUGAGAGGGUGAUCGGCCACACUGGGACUGAGACACGGCCCAGACUCCUACGGGAGGCAGCAGUAGGGAAUCUUCGGCAAUGGACGAAAGUCUGACCGAGCAACGCCGCGUGAGUGAAGAAGGUUUUCGGAUCGUAAAACUCUGUUGUUAGAGAAGAACAAGGACGUUAGUAACUGAACGUCCCCUGACGGUAUCUAAACAGAAAGCCACGGCUAACUACGUG
rnacentral:rRNA from 1 species